GACGAACGCUGGCGGCGUGCUUAACACAUGCAAGUCGAGCGGUAAGGCCCUUUCGGGGGUACGACGAGCGGCGAACGGGUGAGUAACACGUGGGUGACCUGCCCUUAGCUCUGGGAUAAGCCUGGGAAACUGGGUCUAAUACCGGAUAUGACUCCAUAACGCAUGUUGUGGGGUGGAAAGCCUUGUGCGGCUAGGGAUGGGCCCGCGGCCUAUCAGCUUGUUGGUGGGGUGAUGGCCUACCAAGGCGACGACGGGUAGCCGGCCUGAGAGGGCGACCGGCCACACUGGGACUGAGACACGGCCCAGACUCCUACGGGAGGCAGCAGUGGGGAAUCUUGCGCAAUGGGCGAAAGCCUGACGCAGCGACGCCGCGUGGGGAGUGAC
rnacentral:rRNA from 1 species